UGCCAGCCGCCGCGGUAAUACGAAGGGACCUAGCGUAGUUCGGAUUUACUGGGCUUAAAGAGUUCGUAGGUUGUUGAAAAAGUUGGUGGUGAAAUCCCAGAGCUUAACUCUGGAACUGCCAUCAAAACUUUUCAGCUAGAGUAUGAUAGAGGAAAGCAGAAUUUCUAGUGUAGAGGUGAAAUUCGUAGAUAUUAGAAAGAAUACCAAUUGCGAAGGCAGCUUUCUGGAUCAUUACUGACACUGAGGAACGAAAGCAUGGGUAGCGAAGAGGAUUAGAUA
rnacentral:rRNA from 1 species